AACGAACGCUGGCGGCAUGCCUAACACAUGCAAGUCGAACGAGACCUUCGGGUCUAGUGGCGCACGGGUGCGUAACGCGUGGGAACCUGCCCUUAGGUUCGGAAUAACUCCCCGAAAGGGGUGCUAAUACCGGAUAAUGUCUUCGGACCAAAGAUUUAUCGCCUUUGGAUGGGCCCGCGUUGGAUUAGCUAGUUGGUAGGGUAAAAGCCUACCAAGGCGACGAUCCAUAGCUGGUCUGAGAGGAUGAUCAGCCACACUGGGACUGAGACACGGCCCAGACUCCGACGGGAGGCAGCAGUGGGGAAUAUUGGACAAUGGGCGAAAGCCUGAUCCAGCAAGGCCGCGUGAGUGAUGAAGGCCUUAGGGUUGUAAAGCUCUUUUACCCGGGAUGAUAAUGACAGUACCGGGAGAAUAAGCUCCGGCUAACUCCGU
rnacentral:rRNA from 1 species